rnacentral:rRNA from 1 species
AGGUGCCUACGGGGGGCAGCAGUGAGGAAUAUUGGUCAAUGGGCGAGAGCCUGCACCAGCCAAGUCGCGAGAGGGAAGACGGUCCUAUGGAUUGUAAACCUCUUUUGCCGGGGAGAAAAAAGCGGUACGUGUACCGCAUCGAGAGUACCCGGAGAAAAAGCAUCGGCUAACUCCGUGCCAGCAGCCGCGGUAAUACGGAGGAUGCGAGCGUUAUCCGGAUUUAUUGGGUUUAAAGGGUGCGCAGGCGGCGAGUUAAGUCAGCGGUAAAAUUUCGGUGCUCAACCCCGACG